GCGGCGCUGGGGCGCCGGGAUCCGGCCCGUCUUCAAGACGGUCGACACCUGCGCCGGCGAGUUCCCCGCCCACACGCCGUACCA
rnacentral:tRNA from 1 species